AGAUUGGUAAAUUAGAGCAAAAAAUUCGCUCUUAAGCGGGAUAAGGCAAAUUAAAGCUCGACUCUUCGCCUCCAUUUCCUCAUGUCUACUGCAAUCCUCAACUGUACAUCUCCUCACAGUAGUAAAAUCAUGUUAAUGGAUUGAAAGUGUCCUUCCCAUCCUAAUUCUGCGGCCAACAAUCGAUGACGCUCAUUCUUGGCUUCCCGAUCCUGCGAAAGCUGCACAUCUCCCUCAAAAUGAGGUAUGGUUUCUUUAGGUUUAACGAACGGUACUUCAGGAUAAUCGAAUUGCUUAAAGAACUCAAAUUCUUCCAUAUUAGUUUCUUAAUUCUACCUUAAUUGAUGGAUUGUGGUUUAGGUUAAUCGAAUGGCAAUUGAUGAUGACAAAUUUCCAGAACCGGUUGUUUAUUACUCUUUCUUUCUUCUUUAGUUUUCAGUUUCUUUGUUCUGUACGUUCUUUUCCUCUUCACGUGUUCUUUCAUUUCUCUUAUUUUUCAAAGAAUUGGAUUGUGCUUGUAUUGUGGAUAAAUGAAUUGGAUUUUGAUUUUUUAUGCUUGUGUUUAUGUGAAUUGCGUUUUUCAAUUUCAUGUCAUUUCUGCUAUUGGGUUUAUGAUUAGUCCAACCAGUUACCUGUGUUAUUCCUGUGCGUCGAAGAUAUGUUUAUUCCAACCAGUUACCUGUGUUAUUUUUGCAGCAUUUCAAUGUGAAAUUAAUUAGUUUUGCAGCAUUUCAAUGUAUAAUUAGUCUAUUGGAUUGGGUACCUUACUGAUUAAAGUUCCAUCAUUCAACGGGAACUGCAAUUUAGUCUAUUGGGUACCUUUUUAAUUUUCAUUUCUAUCAAGUAUGUGCCUUACUGAUUAAAUUUCCAACAUUCAACUACAACUACUAUAAAGAUACAUAUACAUCUCAAUAUUUUGAUGACGAAAUUUUUGCUACAGGAAUGCUAAAUCACACAUUGCCCGAAUCAGCCAAUCUAGUUGCCUAGCUAGUUGCCUAGUGUAGGAAAGGUAGCUAGUUGCCUAGCUUUCAAAUUGCUUGAUGGAGGCUGAACACACACCAUAUAAUUCGGGACUUGUAAAUGGACAGUCAAUCUGGCGUCAUACGCGAACAAUCUUAUAUAGUAAUGAUUUAUUAUAUCUGUAAAACUCUCGAUUUCGUGCAAUUGUUUGUUUGUCAGUUUGAAAUGUUGGCUUUUAUAUUUUCUAAAUCUGUUUUUCUUAUAUCUGUUGUUGUCCAUCCAGUUGGAGUCCCAUUUACGUCCUUUGUCUCUUUUAGUAGAAUGGUACAAACAUGUAAAUUUGGUCACUACUAAGGGUUCCGUUGCCCUGUGGCCAGUUCACUUGCUACGUCAAAGAAUGUAAUUAACUAAAAAAGGUGAGAUAUUCCAAAUCCAAGUCUAAAUCAUCAGCUGCUGGUAGGGGAUUGAGCUUAUAUUGGUGGAGAGGGGGUAAAGCUUUUCAGAAUCUCUUUCACCGGAAUACCUCACUUCUUGGCUUUGAAAGCAUCCCAAAAAGCUGGUGGCAUGAAGAUACCAGACAUACAAUAUCUUGAAGCUUCAGAAAAUGUGUAGCGAACCAGAUUUAUUGCAUUGCGUGCUGCUGUGGAAUCAUCCACAAGGCUCGAGCAGCUGGCUUUGCAGGUUUUAACUUUUUCACGUAGCAGACAUAAAAUGCAGAAGCAAACUUGUGCGAUACUCUCCAAGAUUAUUAUUGAGUUCAUAUGUUUUAGAAAAUCUCAAUAUAAACUAUAUUGUAAAAACUUUUUAAUUUGUUUGAGAUGGUUUAUGGUUAUUAUUUUGUAAUGGUUAUCAAUUUUGAUAUUUAAACAUAUUCUCCAUGUUAUUAAUUUGCGCCAAUAUAAUGAAAAAUUGUAAAUUACUUUUUAGGUUUGAGUAUAUAUUAAUCAUAAUCUUUUGGUUGAUGAAUAAAUUAUGGCUUGAUAGCUUGAUUAGGGAAAAAUGUAUAUUGC